UGGAUGAACUCCGGAUCAUUUGUGAGUCUGAAGGGAUGAUAGAUAAAGACAUAUAGAGAGGUAGUUGCACGCAAGGUGCAGGACACAGGAAGGUCAGGACGGGGAAAGGGGUUACGGAGCCAGAGUACGCCCGUGGCCAUCCCCCUUAACAACAGGUCUAUCGGGGGGAGGGUGCAAAGUCGCAGGGGGCGAGUCACUGGCACUGAGUCUGCCUCUGUGACUCAAAAGGGAAAGAGGGAGAAGGGGCACGCUGUGGUGAUAGGGGAUUCGUUAGUUAGGGGACCGGACAAGAGGUUCUGUGGGCGAGAAUGAGAUUCCCGGUUGGUAUGUUGCCUCCCGGGUGCCAGGGGUCGAGUUCUCAGCAUUCUGAAGUGGGAUGGUAAGCAGCCACAAGUCGUGGUCCAUGUAGGUGCCAAUGACAGGUAGGUCCUGCAUAGGGAAUUCAGGGAGUUCGGUACUAAGUUAAAGGGCGGGACCUCCAGGGUUGUGAUCGCAGGAUUGCUACACGAGGCCAGAACUAGGAAGAUUAUACGGUUUAAUACGUGGCUAAGGAGUUGUUGUAGAAGGGAGGGUAUAAGACUUUUGGAUCAUUGGGCUCUCUUCUAGGGAAGUGGGACCUGUACUGGAGGGGGACUAAUAUCUGAUUGGAAAGUUUUGUUAAUGCUACACAGAUUAGAGAUUAAAUUAGAGUUGCAGGAGAGGGGAACCAGAACAGUUAGUGGAGGCAGAUGUUGGUUAGACAGCAGACAAGAUUAGGAAUCAAAAGGUUGAGCAUGGUGCGACUGGUGUCCUGAGUUGCGUAUAUUUCAAUGCAACAAGUAUCGUAGGAAAGGAUAAUGCUGAGGAUGAGCGAGCUGGUUUACAAACAGAGGCAAUGUGAGGAGAGGCUGUUGAUAGGGCAAAAUUGCAGCCAACAGGAUGAGUUGGAACGUAUCAGGCGGACAAAAUCGAGAAGAGUGAAUACAGGACAGAAGGUUUUGUAUUUGAAUGCACACAGUAUACGGAAUAAGAUGUUGCCUGACCUGCUGAGAUCCUCCAGCAUUUUGUGUGUCUUGCUCUUUGAUACCACAGAAGUUAAAUGGUACAGAGAUCCUUUGGAAGCACUAGAUGUAUUUUGGAACAUGUACAUUUUUAAGUGACAAAGGGGAUUGCAUUGUGACUGGUUGCAUCACAAUCUUACGCGGAGGGUCUAAUGCACAGAACCGCAAGAAGAUGCAGAUUGCAGCAGACUCACUCAGCUCCAGCACGUGCACAUCUUCCCCAUCAUUAAGGGCAUCUUCAAGAGGCGGUACCUCAGGAAGUUGGCACCCAUCACAGAGGAUCCUCACCAUCCGGGACAUGCCCUCUUCUCAAUACUGCCAAAGGGGAGGAGGUAUAGGAUCCGGAAGACAUGUGCUCUACGACUCAGAAAGAGCUUCUACCCCCUUCUGCCAUCAGAUUUCUGACUGGCCCAUGAACUCGUGAACACUACUUCGUUAUUCCUGUACUAUUUAUUUUUGUAGUUUUAUGUUUUAGGACUGUACUGCUGCC